UGUCACGCAGGCAAUGGGCCAAGAGGCACCUUGGUGGUGGUGGUGUUCUUACAUCAGUCAGGGGCAGAGCACCUGGCAGUCCUUUAUCUUAGCUUGGUACCCAGAUUGGUGGGCAAAGCUAUCUUAUGCCUAGGACUCAUUA